rnacentral:rRNA from 1 species
AUUGAACGCUGGCGGCAUGCCUAACACAUGCAAGUCGAGCGGAUGAAGGGGGCUUGCUCCUGGAUUCAGCGGCGGACGGGGGGGUAAUGCCUAGGAAUCUGCCUGAUAUUGGGGAAUGACGUCCGGAAACGGGCGCUAAUCCCCCAUCCGUCCUGAUGGAGAACGUGGGGGAUCUUCGGACCGCACGCUAUCAGAUGAGCCUAGGUCGGAUUAGCUAGUUGGAGGGGUAAAGGCCUACCGAGGCGACGAUCCGAAACUGGUCUGAGAGGCUGACCAGUCACACUGGAACUGAGACACGGCCCAGACUCCUACGGGAGGAAGCAGUGGGGAAUAUUAGGCAAUGGGCGAAAGCCUGAUCCAGCAAUGCCGCGUGUGUGAAGAAGGUCUUCGGAUUGUAAAGCACUGUAAGUUGGGAGGAAGGACAGUAAUUUUAUCCCUUGCUGUUUUGACGGUACCAACAGAAUAAGCACCGGCUAACUUCGUG